rnacentral:rRNA from 2 species
AUGAAGCGAGUGGCGAACUGGUGAGUAACACGUGGGGAAUCUGCCCAGAAGCAGGGGAUAACACUUGGAAACAGGUGCUAAUACCGUAUAACAACAAAAUCCGCAUGGAUUUUGUUUGAAAGGUGGCUUCGGCUAUCACUUCUGGAUGAUCCCGCGGCGUAUUAGUUAGUUGGUGAGGUAAAGGCCCACCAAGACGAUGAUACGUAGCCGACCUGAGAGGGUAAUCGGCCACAUUGGGACUGAGACACGGCCCAAACUCCUACGGGAGGCAGCAGUAGGGAAUCUUCCACAAUGGACGAAAGUCUGAUGGAGCAAUGCCGCGUGAGUGAAGAAGGGUUUCGGCUCGUAAAACUCUGUUGUUAAAGAAGAACACCUUUGAGAGUAACUGUUCAAGGGUUGACGGUAUUUAACCAGAAAGCCACGGCUAACUACGUGCCAGCAGCCGCGGUAAUACGUAGGUGGCAAGCGUUGUCCGGAUUUAUUGGGCGUAAAGCGAGCGCAGGCGGUUUUUUAAGUCUGAUGUGAAAGCCUUCGGCUUAACCGGAGAAGUGCAUCGGACACUGGGAGACUUGAGUGCAGAAGAGGACAGUGGAACUCCAUGUGUAGCGGUGGAAUGCGUAGAUAUAUGGAAGAACACCAGUGGCGAAAGCGGCUGUCUAGUCUGUAACUGACGCUGAGGCUCGAAAGCAUGGUAGCGACAGGAUUAGAUACCCUGGUAGUCCAUGCCGUAACGAUGAGUGCUAGUGUUGAGGUUUCGCCCUCAGUGCUGCAGCUACGCAUAGCACUCCGCCUGGG